rnacentral:rRNA from 1 species
GACGAACGCUGGCGGCGUGCCUAAUACAUGCAAGUUGAGCGCUGAAGGUUGGUACUUGUACCAACUGGAUGAGCAGCGAACGGGUGAGUAACGCGUGGGGAAUCUGCCUUUGAGCGGGGGACAACAUUUGGAAACGAAUGCUAAUACCGCAUAAAAACUUUAAACACAAGUUUUAAGUUUGAAAGAUGCAAUUGCAUCACUCAAAGAUGAUCCCGCGUUGUAUUAGCUAGUUGGUGAGGUAAAGGCUCACCAAGGCGAUGAUACAUAGCCGACCUGAGAGGGUGAUCGGCCACAUUGGGACUGAGACACGGCCCAAACUCCUACGGGGGGCAGCAGUAGGGAAUCUUCGGCAAUGGACGAAAGUCUGCCCGAGCAACGCCGCGUGGGUGAAGAAGUUUUUCGGAUCUUAAAACUUUGUUGGUAGGGAAGAACGUUGGUGAGGGUGGAAAGCCCCACAAGUGACGGUAACUACCCAAAAAGGGCCGGCUAACUACGU